rnacentral:lncRNA from 1 species
AAAUCUAUAUUCUCGCAGUUUAAUUUCUCAAAGUUCAUUUCUUAUCAUUGUUAUUAUUAUUAAUUCAACUUUCAAAAUCCAUAUUCUCGCAGUCCGAUUUCUCAUAGUUCAUUUCUUAUAAUUACUAUUAUUGCACAUUCCACUUUCAAAAUCCAUAUUCUCGUAGAUCAAUUUCCUAAAGUUCAUUUCUCAUCUUCUUUGACAAAUUUCAAUUUAAGCACCGAAGCUCUAAUCUUUUAAAUUUAAUUCCAAAUACUCCAAUUUUCAAAUAAACUCCAAGAAUCCAGACUUCACUCGAAUAGUCUUAAUCCCAUUUCGGUUCCUAAAUAAUCUUCUGAUUUUCUUGAUUUUACAUAAGAAAUAGCGAAUUCUUCAUAAUUGUA